GUCAGGACCUUCUAGGAAUUGAAGGGGUUCAAAGUUGGUAUUAUUUUUUUUUACGUGUCCACCGUACAUUCUUUCGGCAAGUCUCGCCAGCUCCGUACGGCAAAAUUCGACACCGGACAUAGCUCAAAUGAAAGGUAAUGAAUCAGAGCAGGACUCACUUAAAUGAUUUUUUGGGGGUUAGGACCUUCUAGGAAUUGAAGGGGUUCAAAGUUGGUAUUAUUUUUUUUUUACGUGUCCACCGUACAUUCUUUCGGCAAGUCUCGCCAGCUCCGUACGGCAAAAUUCGACACCGGACAUAGCUCAAAUGAAAGGUAAUGAAUCAGAGCAGGACCCACUUAAAUGAUUUUUUGGGGGUUAGGACCUUCUAGGAAUUGAAGGGGUUCAAAGCUGGUAUUAUUUUUUUUUUUACGUGUCCACCGUACAUUCUUUCGGCAAGUCUCGCCAGCUCCGUACGGCAAAGUUCGACACCGGACAUAGCUCAAAUGAAAGGUAAUGAAUCAGAGCAGGACCCACUUAAAUGAUUUUUUGGGGGUUAGGACCUUCUGGGAAUUGAAGGGGUUCAAAGUUGGUAUUAUUUUUUUUUUACGUGUCCACCGUACAUUCUUUCGGCAAGUCUCGCCAGCUCUGUACGGCAAAAUUCGACACCGGACAUAGCUCAAAUGAAAGGUAAUGAAUCAGAGCAGGACCCACUUAAUUG